UUAAAAGAAGUCAAAUGGAGAAUGUGGAGGAGGUUGAAAUUUGAACUGGGCCACAUAGGUUUGAACAGAAUGAGUUGGAAACCUCAGGCCAUCUCCUGUAUUGACAUGCUAUCAGUCAGUAAAUAUGAAAUUCAGAAUUCUAGAAGAAGCAGCCUGAAAAACCAAGAAACUGAAAUGUCUUACAAUUCAACAAUUCAACAGAGGUCAUCUUUUGAAAAUCUGGACUCAGUAUGGAGAUGA
rnacentral:lncRNA from 1 species